GGAUGUUGACAUGAGUGAUGCUCCUUGGAUACAGACAGGAGGACAGGGUGAGUAAAUGCCUAGUGAAGUCUAGCCUCGGUAGUGGGGGAGCAACGUGUCGAAAGGAAGCGCUAAUGAUCCGCAUACGUCCUACGGGAGAAAGGCAGGGGAGCCUUCGGGCCUUGCGCUAUCAGAUGAGCCUAGGUCGGAUUAGCUAGUUGGUGAGGUAAUGGCUCACCAAGGCUACGAUCCGUAACUGGUCUGAGAGGAUGAUCAGUCACACUGGAACUGAGACACGGUCCAGACUCCUACGGGAGGCAGCAGUGGGGAAUAUUGGACAAUUGGGCGAAAGCCUGAUCCAGCCAUGCCGCGUGUGUGAAGAAGGUCUUCGGAUUGUAAAGCACUUUAAGUUGGGAGGAAGGGCAUUAACCUAAUACGUUAGUGUUUUGACGUUACCGACAAGAAUAAGCACCGGCUAACUCUGUGCCAGCAGCCGCGGUAAUACAGAGGGUGCAAGCGUUAAUCGGAAUUACUGGGCGUAAAGCGCGCGUAGGUGGUUCGUUAAGUUGGAUGUGAAAUCCCCGGGCUCAACCUGGGAACUGCAUCCCAAAAACUGGCGAGCUAGAGUAUGGUAGAGGGGUGGUGGAAUUUCCUGUGUUAGCCGGUGAAA
rnacentral:rRNA from 1 species